CUACGGGCUGCUCCAGUCGAGAAUCUUCCGCAAUGGCCGAAAGGCUGACGGAGCGACGCCGCGUGAUUGAUGAAGUCUUUAGGGAUGUAAAAAUCUUUUCUCAAGGAGGAAGUUUAUUGACGUUACUUGAGGAAUAAGGAGUUGCUAAACUCGUGCCAGCAGCAGCGGUAAUACGAGUGCUCCAAGCGUUAUCCGGAAUUAUUGGGCGUAAAGGGUGCGUAGGCUGAUUUAUUAGUCUCUUGUUAAAGAUCCGGGCACAACUCGGAAAAAGCAAGAGAAACGGUAGGUCUUGAGAGUGUGAGAGGCAAGCGGAACUUAUGGUGUAGGGGUGAAAUCCGUUGAUAUCAUAAGGAACACCAAAAGCGAAGGCAGCUUGCUGGCACAUUUCUGACGCUGAGGCACGAAAGCGUGGGUAGCGAAUGGGAUUAGAUACCCGAGUAGUC
rnacentral:rRNA from 1 species